UACAGAGGCCUCGAGCGUUAGGCGGAAUCACUGGGCUUAAAGCGUGUGUAGGCGGCGUGCUAAGUACCUUGUGAAAUCCCACAGCUCAACUGUGGAAUUGCUCGGUAUACUGGCAUUCUUGAGCCAUCUAGGGGCGAGCGGAACAAAUGGUGGAGCGGUGAAAUGCGUAGAUAUCAUUUGGAACGCCAACGGUGAAAACAGCUCGCUGGGGAUGUGCUGACGCUGAGACACGAAAGCCAGGGGAGCAAACAGG
rnacentral:rRNA from 1 species